GCUAAAUAAUAGCCUGGGGGUAUCUCGAACAUGAAUAGACGGAUUUUCUGUCAGAAGAUCCCUACAAACAAAUGACCAGGCCGGAACUCUCAAAUGCACUAGCACAUGAUGCAAAACUUGUCCUUUCAUUCACAACGUUGAGAAAGUAUCGGGACCCAAACGACGCUUUAAGAUUAGUGACUGUAGCCACUUCAGCUAAAGCUAAAUGUUACCGCUUCCGAAAGAAGCUGCGAAUUAUAUUUAUGGUUGGGUGAACGCCUCCGAGAUUAGUUCUUGAAGAUAUAAAAUUAUAGACAUAAAAAACAUAAAAUUACAGUUAGCGAUUCAGUUCAGGAUAAAACCUCAUGUAAUCAAGAUCGUCUCUAAACUAGAAGACAAGUUAGACCGUAAUCCUCGUUAACAGUAGUCAAGACCCGAGAACGUUGAAAGAACUAAAAGAAGUGACCGCUGUUUUGAGCAGUUCUUCUCUGGAGAGCACGCCGGAGAAAAAGAAAGGAUCUGUAGAUCAUAGAAAAUUUGCACCAAAAGAGUCUAGGGAAAGGUCUAAAGCAAGGAAGUUCAGACGCGUUUAGUACCGAGACAAGGAACAGAUAGAGACCCCCCUCCUGAAAUUUUGUGACCUUUGAAGAUCUUGAGGUAGAUGACUACGGAUCGUAUAUAAAUAAUGAGUCACCAACGCAUACCUUUGAGUGUGAUUUUAUGGUUGAAAAAUUAAGUAGGUGUAAACGAAAAGCUACCAAAAUAAUCGCAUGUAGUGAUUGCUAUGAUCUUCAUAGAAAACACCUUAAAUGUUCUUCAGCACCAGACUUUUUAAGAACCAUUUCUUUUUGCUUAACUCCGUCAGGGAAGAUCCUGAAUGAGGUGGCCUUAAUUCAAUAUAAUUUUAAAGAGACUGAACACGACUUUCAUCUUUUGGCGCAUGGGAAUGCAAACGUAAAAUGCAAGGCUCCUAACCAAAGAACGAAGGACUCAACAAAGGCGCACUCAAGGAGAAACCUUAAAGAUAACGCUUGUAUUUGUGUUGCAUUUGCAUCUUUUAUUUCCUCCUUUUCUACAAAUUAGAAUCUAAUGAAUAAUUACAAGAAAGAUAAGAAGAUCGAGAAGAGUAACAUAAGGCGAGGUAAUAAGAUGCCCCUUACGUUAAAUUAUAUCUUUUCAAAUAGUAAAACGAAGCGAUACAAAUAUGAGGGGGAAUAGGAAUCACAACUAAAGAGCGACUUUUUUAAGACCGCGUGAGAGGUGGCACAUUGACUGAAAAAUGACUAUCUUCAUAUUUCAGUCAGAGACACGU